AUGAUGGGGCUGACAAGGAGGGAAGGGAGGCAGAGGCGAGUCAACCCCAGCCCGCCCGGUCACCGGCCGGAGGGGAGAAUGGCGGAGACAGCUCCGACCCACCGGCUCCGCGCGCGCGCCGAGGCGGCGGUGGCGUCCCUGGUGGACGUCCGCCUCCACGAGAUGCCCCCGCUGACCAGCGCCGCCUCCACCUUCUUCUUCAUCCUGAGCGCCUACUUCGUGGUGCUGCCGCUGCGGGACGAGGGGGCCAUCUCGCUGGGCCUCGGCGCCCUCCCGGGCCUCUUCGCCGGCUCGCUCGUGCUCACCAUCCUCGCCGCCCCCGUCGCCUCCCUCGCCUUCUCGCUCCCAUCCGUCCCCAAGUCCAGGGCUUUGGUUUUGAUACACAGGUUCUUCAGCAUAUCCCUUCUUGUAUUUUUUGUGCUUUGGCUUGCCUCGAAGCCGGGCUCCCCAUCUACCGCCCAGUCAAGUGAAGAUGGUUCAAAUAAACCUGCUGGGUGGGGAAACCAUAGCUGGUUAUACAUAGUUGUGAGAAUAAGCUUCUUUCUCUGGGUUGCUUUGCUUAAUCUCAUUACAAUAUCAUCCACUUGGGCAAGGGUAAUUGAUGUCAUGGACAGUGAGUCAGGUUCAAGAUUGUUUGGUUUUAUCGGGGCUGGUGCUACGCUAGGGCAACUUUUUGGUUCUUUGUUUGCUGCAAGCAUGGCAUGGAUGGGACCCUUUCUGCUCCUAUUUUCCUCCCUCUUGAUGGAACUUGCUGCGCUGUCAUCUAAAGGAAUUUGCAUUGAUGCUAAUCAUGGUUCAACAGAAUUGCCAUCAACAGGAGCAGAACCAAGUCAAAAUACCGAGCUUGGUGAUGAAAUGUCUUCACUGGUCACUUCACCUAGAACACCUUCCCAAUCUCAAAAGACAAAGCCUGGGAUUUUUGUGAUGUUUGAAGGUUUCUGGCUGAUCAUGCGCUCGCCCUACCUGAUAUACAUAUCUCUGUUUCUAUGGCUGAGUGCAGCUGUCUCAUCCUUCUUUUACUUUCAGAAAGUAACUAUAGUUGCUACUACAAUAUCAAGUCCAACUGCCAGAAGGAGAACAUUUGCACUGAUAAAUAGCUUUAUAGCAGUUUUUAUUCUUGCCGGACAGCUCACUUUGACGGGUCAUAUCCUUACAGUAGCUGGUGUAACAGUUGCUAUUUGCGCAUCUCCAUUUAUUGCUGCCUCAAAUUUGGUUGCCCUUGCUGUAUGGCCAACUUGGGUUGCUGUUGCCGUCACUGAAACAAUUCGAAAGGUAACUACCUAUGUUUUGACUAGACCUGGAAGGGAGUUAUUAUUUACUGUUGUCUCACAGGAUGAGAAGUACACAGCCAAGGUCUGUAUAGAUGUUAUUGUUCAAAGGCUUGGUGAUGCGACAGCUGCUGGAAUUUACACAUUACUUUUCAGCAGCUUUGAGAAGAAAAUAUCCAUUGUCAACCUCUAUGCAUUGCCGCUCUGCUUUGUCUGGCUUCUCAUUGCAUUUCAUUUGGGACGGCUCCAGACAAAUCUUGCCAGGCUUCAGGCAGCGUCUGACCCGUCCUAG
rnacentral:rRNA from 1 species